rnacentral:rRNA from 1 species
CCUACGGGAGGCAGCAGUGGGGAAUAGUGCACAAUGGGGGAAACCCUGAUGCAGCGACGCCGCGGGAGUGAAGAAGAAGUUCGGUAGGUAAAGCGCUAGCAGCAGGGAAGAAAAUGACGGUACCUGAUUAAGAAGCCCCGGCUAACUACGUGCCAGCAGCCGCGGUAAUACGUAGGGGGCAAGCGUUAUCCGGAUUUACUGGGUGUAAAGGGAGCGUAGACGGCAGCACAAGUCUGGAGUGAAAUGCCGGGGCUUAACCCCGGAACUGCUUUGGAAACUGUGGUUCUUGAGUACUGGAGAGGCAGACGGAAUUCCUAGUGUAGCGGUGAAAUGCGUAGAUAUUAGGAGGAACACCAGUGGCGAAGGCGGUCUGCUGGACAGCAACUGACGCUGAGGCGCGAAAGCGUGGGGAGCAAACAGGAUUAGAUACCCGAGUAGUC